CCCGAGAGCCUUAUCUCAGAAAAAGGGGAAAAGAGGCAGUAUGCCUCUUAACCCGUGAAGAAAAAUAAAAAGAGGAAAGAAUGAGGAUUUCUCAUUUCUUCUUUACGAAAAUCUUUGAUUUAAGAAGAUCCAACGGUCCAAUCUUCGAUCCGUCUUCGGAAAUGUAAUCCUAGCACUCGGAUUUACAUUUCUACCGAUCGUUUUGAAGCUUUGUGUUAUUUGGAGCUUGCAAAGAUUCUCCAAACACUGGGUAUUAUUUGGGUAAAUUUUUAGUAUUGCAUUGCAUGGUGGUGUCUAGGAGACCUAGUGCUUAAUAUCCGCCCAGCCAAGACAUUGAUGCUUUGGUUGCAGGUUCUGCGGAUAUAGAUAUUAACUCGUCCACCUAGCGUGUAAGAUGCUAUGAUUAGAGCACAUCGCGACAGUCAUAAACCACGGACUCAUGGGUAGUCCGUAUUUUUUGUAUUCUAUUUAUGGCUCGUGUCUUACUUGACAUAUGUAUUUGUUGAGCCUAUAUUUUAGUAUGUAGUUAAUGUAAUAUGUUUUAUAAGCCUUAAAUAGAUAGACUUAUAAAUGGUUCUUAUUGUAAUUAACUGUUAUGUAUUAGAUGUAUU